rnacentral:rRNA from 1 species
AGCAGCCGCGGUAAUUCCAGCUCCAAUAGCGUAUAUUAAAGUUGUUGCAGUUAAAAAGCUCGUAGUUGAAUUUCAGGCCUGGCUGGACGGUCCGCCCUUCGGGUGAGUACUGUCUGUGGUCGGGUCCUACCUUCUGGCGAAGCGUCAUGGCCUUAACCGGCCGUGGCGGGGAACCAGGACUUUUACUGUGAAAAAAUUAGAGUGUUCAAAGCAGGCAAUCGCUUGGAUACAUUAGCAUGGAAUAAUGGAAUAGGACAAUGGUUCUAUUUGUUGGUUUCUAGGACCGUUGUAAUGAUUAAUAGGGAUAGUUGGGGGCAUUAGUAUUCAAUUGUCAGAGGUGAAAUUCUUGGAUUUAUUGAAGACUAACUACUGCGAAAGCAUUUGCCAAGGAUGUUUUCAUUAAUCAAGAACGAAAGUUAGGGGAUCGAAGACGAUCAGAUACCGUCGUAGUCUUAACCAUAAACUAUGCCGACUAGGAAUCGGGCGAUGUUGAAAGAAUGACGC